rnacentral:rRNA from 1 species
GAGCUCGUAGGUGGUUGGUCACGUCUGCUGUGGAAACGCAACGCUUAACGUUGCGCGUGCAGUGGGUACGGGCUGACUAGAGUGCAGUAGGGGAGUCUGGAAUUCCUGGUGUAGCGGUGAAAUGCGCAGAUAUCAGGAGGAACACCGGUGGCGAAGGCGGGACUCUGGGCUGUAACUGACACUGAGGAGCGAAAGCAUGGGGAGCGAACAGGAUUAGAUACCCUGGUAGUCCAUGCCGUAAACGUUGGGCACUAGGUGUGGGGGACAUUCCACGUUCUCCGCGCCGUAGCUAACGCAUUAAGUGCCCCGCCUGGGGAGUACGGUCGCAAGGCUAAAACUCAAAGGAAUUGACGGGGGCCCGCACAAGCGGCGGAGCAUGCGGAUUAAUUCGAUGCAACGCGAAGAACCUUACCAAGGCUUGACAUACACUGGACCGUUCUGGAAACAGUUCUUCUCUUUGGAGCUGGUGUACAGGUGGUGCAUGGUUGUCGUCAGCUCGUGUCGUGAGAUGUUGGGUUAAGUCCCGCAACGAGCGCAACCCUCGUUCUAUGUUGCCAGCACGUGAUGGUGGGAACUCAUAGGAGACUGCCGGGGUCAACUCGGAGGAAGGUGGGGAUGACGUCAAAUCAUCAUGCCCUUUAUGUCUUGGGCUUCACGCAUGCUACAAUGGCUGGUACAGAGAGAGGCGAACCCGUGAGGGUAAGCGAAUCCCUUAAAGCCAGUCUCAGUUCGGAUCGUAGUCUGCAAUUCGACUACGUGAAGUCGGAGUCGCUAGUAAUCGCAGAUCAGCAACGCUGCGGUGAAUACGUUCCCGGGCCUUGUACACACCGCCCGUCAAGUCACGAAAGUCGGUAACACCCGAAGCCGGUGUCCCAACCCUUGUGGAGGGGGCCGUCUAAUGUGGGACUGGUGAUUGGGACGAAGUCGUA